UAAGUAAGCGGAGGAAAAGAAACUAACUAGGAUUCCCUUAGUAAUGGCGAAUGAACAGGGAUCAGCUCAGUGCCAAAUCGGAAUCACUUGUGGUUCUGAAAUGUGGCUUGAAGGCAGUACCAGUGGCAUCGCGGGCGAAAGUCUCUUGGAAAAGAGCGUCAUAGAGGGUGAGAAUCCCGUGAGUCGUUCGCCGUUUGUCACGUACGGUCUGCGUUCUAACGAGUCGCGUUCCUUGGGAUUGGAGCGUAAACGGGUGGUAAAUUUCAUCCAAAGCAAAAUAUAUACUCGAGACCGAUAGCACAAAAGUACCGUGAGGGAAAGGUGAAAAGAACUUUGAGAAGAGGGUUAAAUAGUGCCUGAAAUCGUUGAGAAGGAAGCGGAUGCCGCCGUUGCAUAUGCUGAUUGUAGGAUUGCUGCUCGCUCCUGUCUUCUGCUACUCAUUCACAGACCUGGUCGUGUUGAGCAGUUGUUUGGCAGAUGUUAGUGGUGUUUCCUACUUUCAGUCGUCAGCAUCACUGGCUGAGUGGAAAUAAUCCUUGGAUGCUAAUUGGUUCGCUAUCUGUGAAUUGGUUGCUUCCUUGCGAUACUCACUACUCGGUCAGUGAGGAAGUGCGUUUGCUGGUCAACGAGCUUUCUAACUGUCAUUACCCUGCGCUUUUCGAUUCGUCGAGUGGCCAGGAUGUGGCUUUGAGAUUGUUCGCACUUAGUAAUCGCGAUGCUGGCUUCCAACGGUUGCCUCCGGCCCGUCUUGAAACACGGACCAAGGAGUCUAACGUAUGUGCGAGUGUGUGAGUGGCAAACUUAUACGCGUAAUGAAAGUGAGGCCGUAUGGCCAUGUUGGGGUCACCAACAACCGACCUUGAUCUUCGGUGAAAGGUUUGAGUAUGAGCAUAUCCGUUAGGACCCGAAAGAUGGUGAACUAUGCCUGAGCAGGGUGAAGCCAGGGGAAACUCUGGUGGAGGCUCGUAGCGAUA
rnacentral:rRNA from 1 species